UGCCAAGAACGAUAUGGUAACCCACGUGGAAGAGACUUAGCAAUGGUUGGGACAGUAGCUUAUGUCACGAUGCCAUGGUUCAUGCCAAUAAAACAAGUCCUUGCUUGCAAGCUUCUGUUAUUGUAUAUACACACCGUGGAGACUCCCCAAGGUUGCUCUUCAUCUACAAAAGAUGGGUUACGACGAUUUUUACAAUUCAAGAUUUUGCAGGAUUCAAGGCGAAGUUUGAGGAAGCGGGUUUCAACCAAGCUACUAGGUCUUUUGUUGUUGAUUUGUGUAACUAAUAUUUGUAAGUAGUCAACCGUUUGUUAAAGAUCUUAGUGUGUAUUUAACAACGAGCUACUGCGACUCUGAUUCUGUGAUGUUAAGUAAAUUUGUAAU